GUGAAGCCAUACAAAAUCGACAUCUCAAGUCUAUACUCUUCUAAAAAAAACUGGCAGUUGAAUGAUGGCAACGAGAGGGCAUAUGCCCGAGUAUGCAUACAUACCUGUCAUUUAGAAUAACUUCCUAGUGCAUCUUGAUCAACUAGAAUACGAAUUUUGAGCUGCUUUCCUUGGUUGCAAGUCAUUGUAGCAUAUUUCCAUUAUUCUCUCAUGCCUCUGGCAGGAUCGAAUCUGCUGCCUUUAACAUAUCAGAACAGUAUGAGGCCAUGCGAUUCUUCUAGCACCAGAAUAAGAAGAUGGCUACUUGUGCAAGUACAAAAAGCACAUUAUGAUUUAUGGACGAUAGCCAGUAUAGGUAAGCAUUUUCAAAGAUAAACAAGUUUUGAUGCGAUAUAAAAUGAAGUGCCUAAAUUAUCCUUAAACUCAACACACAUCAUAUGCUUCAACCCCUAAGACUAAGAGUCAUUGGCAUGGGCAGUUUGAUCAACAAAAAUGGAUGUUCAUGUGGAUAAGACAAUCGCAUGUCUACCUAUCAGUUUAUACCAAAGCGAAUAAAGCAUCCUAUAAAGUUCAAAAUGUCGCAAGGUCUCAUCACAACCAAGUCUGAUUAUAUCACGUUGGCAUUAAAGUCAAAUAAGGAAUUAUUCUACAGAUGAUCUAUCGAAUUCAAUUAAAAUAAAAUAUACAUUCAACCUGAACCGAAAUCAUUCACUUUCCUUUCGCACAAUGUUUCAUACUAAAUUACCAAAUAAACUGAUACAUAGUAAAUCUUCUAAUAAACAAUUUGGACUAAUAACAAAUGGCCUUAAACUACAUCUAGCACAAAAAUUUAUAAGACAUAUUAAAAACAAAAUAGGUAUGGCUAUCAAUCGCAAGUACCACAUUAAGCAACUGCAAUAUGGAAUACUUCUCUAACCCAAGGAUCAUACAAGUAUAACUAGAGUAAUUGAUUUUUAUUUUUCGAUGAAACAGGAUUCAGAACAACCUAAUUUUUUUAAAAAAUAGAAUAUGUAAAAGCAUAAUACAAAGCAAUAGAAAAAGAAAUAUGAAAGGUAGGUUUGGGAGAGCUGCUGUCUUAUGUGAAUAGUAAGAGUGUGUGAUAAAACUAUGUUCUUAGAAAAAAUUUCCUAAAGAUUCACCAUCUUUUCAAAAUUGUGAAAAAGAAGAACCAUCAGUUUUUAUUCGAAGAUUCUUAGUAUCUCGGAUCAAACAAUCCAAGUCUAUCCAAAAAAAAUUUCUGUCCAGAUUAUAGUCAUUUUUUGGCACAGAGUGACAAGAGGUUAAGGCAUUCUCAAGAGAGGAUGGUAAUCAUUAGUUUCCCCAAAAAAACAUUAUCUUCAUUCAUGCCACAACUGCAAAGGGACAUGUAAAAAGGUGCUCAUCAAUUUCCUCACUGGAGGCACCAAAAUGCAUGCAGAAUUGACAUUGAUUUCAAUAUAUAGAAUAAAAGUUGGGUGUGUAGUCUUUCCCUUCAAGGUUCUCCAACCAAAUAUCUUAACUUUUGGAGGUGCUUUUAAUUUCAUUACUUCAACAAUCAAUAGAGCAUGGGAUAUGACAAAUUCCUGUCAAUUUCCUUCAGCACCUGAAAUGCAUGCUUCAUCUAACCCUACUAAAACAACCUAUGAACAUAACCAAGUGUAAUGAAUCUCAUCUGGGCCAAAUCCGUCUCUUAUAUUUCAGGAAGACUUCAAAGAACCAACUGAAAAGGUCCUUCUGAAAUCCAAUCACUACCUCUUGACCAUCAUUCUAAACAAACUCUCACCAACAGAGGCACUGGUUCAGCUGAUCCCAGCAAAAACUUGAAAUAUGAUAAACAGUAAUCUUUGUCAAAAAUAAUUGUCAUAAACAUCAUUUGCACAUUCAUUUAUAUUUCAUCAAACAAAUGCUUAGCGUAUAACUUAAUUGCAACGCUAAGAAUUAUGUUAAUUUUCGAACACUAACAUUUGGCUGAUAGCUCCAGAUCUAAAAACCAUGUAUGUCACUCCAUUCAGCUACCCAAUAUCAGAAAAACUCAACCAUAUAUCAGCACCUUUUAGACCUUCUCCAAUUUUCCGAGGCCUCCUGAAUGGAGUGAAACCAGAACAAAUGCCUUACAUAUCCAGAAACUGCUAAAUGGAAGAAGCUUAAAGACCAAAAGUAAACUCUUCAUACUGGGCAUCAUGGCCAUGAUAACCACUACCAGCUCGGACGCGAGAUAAGUUAGAAUAAACUAAAACUUCUUAAUUGACAUUCUAGAUCAUAGAAUCUAGUCAAGGUCCUGAUCUGAUUAAACAACAUCCGUUAUUACUGUUAGGUCAGAAAUGUUUGCUAAUUAUCUUUUGACAUGAUCAAGGAUGAAAGACUAAAAUACAAAACCCUUCUUUUGGUGGCAGCUUGAUAUUAGUUUCUGGUAACAUCAUGUAACGAAUUUAAAGAACACUAGAGAACUAGCAAAUAAACUGUCAAAUAACAUCAUCUUUGUUGUAGGAUUGAACUUAUUACAAAUGCUGGACAUUUCUAAGUCCAUUUUUUGAGUAUUUAGUAUAAAUGAUUUAAAGGAGAGAAAGAUCACAGUAAACUAACAAACUGUUCUUAAGAUUAGUCUUGCAAUUCUUUAAUCAAAACAGCAGUGUUUAUACCCAAAAAAAAUUCACUUGUGUGUACCUGGAAAAUUUAUAAUAUGGUUCAAUGAGAAUAACCACAAGUCAUUUCUGAAUGAAUCUUUCCAGUUGGUUGUGAAUUUGAGAAACUUAGCAAUUUCUUAAUCGUGAAAAAGAUGUAAAUAUAUUAAAAAAAUCAAGUAACACACUUCUACACUCUAUGGUGGUUAGACAGACUAUAGCCUUGUAGAAAAGACAACCAAAUGAAAAUAGAAAACUUAUAUCAUAACCUCCAACAAAAGUUGCCAUAAGCUAAACAAAAUGGGUAAAGUACAAAGAUCAAUAGAUAAUUUGCCUGAAGCAUUUGUGAUAAAUGUAUCACAUGCAUGGACAUAUAUAUGUUUCAUGUUUCACAUAGUCAUAAUUAAUAAGCUUAUUUGUAACAUAUAUAGGUUAAUUUCAUAAAUAAAUAAAAAAGGCAUACGUGUAUGUAUCACAAAGAAGUUCAAUAGAUACAAAAUGAUGAGAUCUCUCAGUCAAAACUUCAUAUAACUUCCGCUAUUCACAAUCUAUUUGCCGUUCUUCUCACUCUACGCGGUUCCAAUCAACUGAAAACGCAGAGAAUUUAACUAAGAGGAGUCCCUACUUACCCUAGAAUUGCCACUCGACCCUCAUUACCAAUGCCUCCUCCAUUGGAAACAAAGACCCAGAAAAGGAGAACGAGCAACAUCCUCAGAUCAAGAAGAAGGAUUACCUCCACUCCUCCGAGAAAAUCCAUUCUCCUCCUCGGAUACGCCGGAAACUUAUCGAUUUCUCCCUGGAUGACUGGGGUUUUUCGAAGACCCCAUUAAAUCGCAAAAAAACAAACAAGGGGGAUCGCCGGUAGUUCUGGCUCCCUCGGCGGCGGCGGCGACGACCGGAGGGAGAAGCGCUUCAUGUUCCUUCCCAGCCAUCUCCGGUGCUACCUUCGAAACUUAUUCGUUCCCACGACUUAAUGGACGACUUCCAACAGGAUAGGCGGAGUUGGAGAGCAUGAAGU
rnacentral:lncRNA from 1 species